rnacentral:rRNA from 1 species
GUAGGUGGCAAGCGUUGUCCGGAAUUAUUGGGCGUAAAGCGCGCGCAGGCGGUUCCUUAAGUCUGGUGUGAAAGCCCACGGCUCAACCGUGGAGGGUCAUUGGAAACUGGAGAACUUGAGUACAGAAGAGGAAAGCGGAAUUCCACGUGUAGCGGUGAAAUGCGUAGAGAUGUGGAGGAACACCAGUGGCGAAGGCGGCUUUCUGGUCUGUAACUGACGCUGAGGCGCGAAAGCGUGGGGAGCAAACAGGGAUUAGAUACCCUGGUAGUCCACGCCGUAAACGAUGAGUGCUAAGUGUUAGGGGGUUUCCGCCCCCUUAGUGCUGCAGCUAACGCAUUAAGCACUCCGCCUGGGGAGUACGGCCGCAAGGCUG